GGGUUGUGAGGUUAAGCGACUAAGCGUACACGGUGGAUGCCCUGGCAGUCAGAGGCGAUGAAGGACGUGCUAAUCUGCGAUAAGCGUCGGUAAGGUGAUAUGAACCGUUAUAACCGGCGAUUUCCGAAUGGGGAAACCCAGUGUGUUUCGACACACUAUCAUUAACUGAAUCCAUAGGUUAAUGAGGCGAACCGGGGGAACUGAAACAUCUAAGUACCCCGAGGAAAAGAAAUCAACCGAGAUUCCCCCAGUAGCGGCGAGCGAACGGGGAGCAGCCCAGAGCCUGAAUCAGUGUGUGUGUUAGUGGAAGCGUCUGGAAAGGCGCGCGAUACAGGGUGACAGCCCCGUACACAAAAAUGCACAUGCUGUGAGCUCGAUGAGUAGGGCGGGACACGUGGUAUCCUGUCUGAAUAUGGGGGGACCAUCCUCCAAGGCUAAAUACUCCUGACUGACCGAUAGUGAACCAGUACCGUGAGGGAAAGGCGAAAAGAACCCCGGCGAGGGGAGUGAAAAAGAACCUGAAACCGUGUACGUACAAGCAGUGGGAGCACGCUUAGGCGUGUGACUGCGUACCUUUUGUAUAAUGGGUCAGCGACUUAUAUUCUGUAGCAAGGUUAACCGAAUAGGGGAGCCGAAGGGAAACCGAGUCUUAACUGGGCGUUAAGUUGCAGGGUAUAGACCCGAAACCCGGUGAUCUAGCCAUGGGCAGGUUGAAGGUUGGGUAACACUAACUGGAGGACCGAACCGACUAAUGUUGAAAAAUUAGCGGAUGACUUGUGGCUGGGGGUGAAAGGCCAAUCAAACCGGGAGAUAGCUGGUUCUCCCCGAAAGCUAUUUAGGUAGCGCCUCGUGAAUUCAUCUCCGGGGGUAGAGCACUGUUUCGGCAAGGGGGUCAUCCCGACUUACCAACCCGAUGCAAACUGCGAAUACCGGAGAAUGUUAUCACGGGAGACACACGGCGGGUGCUAACGUCCGUCGUGAAGAGGGAAACAACCCAGACCGCCAGCUAAGGUCCCAAAGUCAUGGUUAAGUGGGAAACGAUGUGGGAAGGCCCAGACAGCCAGGAUGUUGGCUUAGAAGCAGCCAUCAUUUAAAGAAAGCGUAAUAGCUCACUGGUCGAGUCGGCCUGCGCGGAAGAUGUAACGGGGCUAAACCAUGCACCGAAGCUGCGGCAGCGACACUAUGUGUUGUUGGGUAGGGGAGCGUUCUGUAAGCCUGUGAAGGUGUGCUGUGAGGCAUGCUGGAGGUAUCAGAAGUGCGAAUGCUGACAUAAGUAACGAUAAAGCGGGUGAAAAGCCCGCUCGCCGGAAGACCAAGGGUUCCUGUCCAACGUUAAUCGGGGCAGGGUGAGUCGACCCCUAAGGCGAGGCCGAAAGGCGUAGUCGAUGGGAAACAGGUUAAUAUUCCUGUACUUGGUGUUACUGCGAAGGGGGGACGGAGAAGGCUAUGUUGGCCGGGCGACGGUUGUCCCGGUUUAAGCGUGUAGGCUGGUUUUCCAGGCAAAUCCGGAAAAUCAAGGCUGAGGCGUGAUGACGAGGCACUACGGUGCUGAAGCAACAAAUGCCCUGCUUCCAGGAAAAGCCUCUAAGCAUCAGGUAACAUCAAAUCGUACCCCAAACCGACACAGGUGGUCAGGUAGAGAAUACCAAGGCGCUUGAGAGAACUCGGGUGAAGGAACUAGGCAAAAUGGUGCCGUAACUUCGGGAGAAGGCACGCUGAUAUGUAGGUGAAGCGACUUGCUCGUGGAGCUGAAAUCAGUCGAAGAUACCAGCUGGCUGCAACUGUUUAUUAAAAACACAGCACUGUGCAAACACGAAAGUGGACGUAUACGGUGUGACGCCUGCCCGGUGCCGGAAGGUUAAUUGAUGGGGUUAGCCGCAAGGCGAAGCUCUUGAUCGAAGCCCCGGUAAACGGCGGCCGUAACUAUAACGGUCCUAAGGUAGCGAAAUUCCUUGUCGGGUAAGUUCCGACCUGCACGAAUGGCGUAAUGAUGGCCAGGCUGUCUCCACCCGAGACUCAGUGAAAUUGAACUCGCUGUGAAGAUGCAGUGUACCCGCGGCAAGACGGAAAGACCCCGUGAACCUUUACUAUAGCUUGACACUGAACAUUGAGCCUUGAUGUGUAGGAUAGGUGGGAGGCUUAGAAGUGUGGACGCCAGUCUGCAUGGAGCCGACCUUGAAAUACCACCCUUUAAUGUUUGAUGUUCUAACGUUGACCCGUAAUCCGGGUUGCGGACAGUGUCUGGUGGGUAGUUUGACUGGGGCGGUCUCCUCCUAAAGAGUAACGGAGGAGCACGAAGGUUGGCUAAUCCUGGUCGGACAUCAGGAGGUUAGUGCAAUGGCAUAAGCCAGCUUGACUGCGAGCGUGACGGCGCGAGCAGGUGCGAAAGCAGGUCAUAGUGAUCCGGUGGUUCUGAAUGGAAGGGCCAUCGCUCAACGGAUAAAAGGUACUCCGGGGAUAACAGGCUGAUACCGCCCAAGAGUUCAUAUCGACGGCGGUGUUUGGCACCUCGAUGUCGGCUCAUCACAUCCUGGGGCUGAAGUAGGUCCCAAGGGUAUGGCUGUUCGCCAUUUAAAGUGGUACGCGAGCUGGGUUUAGAACGUCGUGAGACAGUUCGGUCCCUAUCUGCCGUGGGCGCUGGAGAACUGAGGGGGGCUGCUCCUAGUACGAGAGGACCGGAGUGGACGCAUCACUGGUGUUCGGGUUGUCAUGCCAAUGGCACUGCCCGGUAGCUAAAUGCGGAAGAGAUAAGUGCUGAAAGCAUCUAAGCACGAAACUUGCCCCGAGAUGAGUUCUCCCUGACUCCUUGAGAGUCCUGAAGGAACGUUGAAGACGACGACGUUGAUAGGCCGGGUGUGUAAGCGCAGCGAUGCGUUGAGCUAACCGGUACUAAUGAACCGUGAGGCUUAACCUUACAACGCCGAAGGUGUUU
rnacentral:rRNA from 1 species